GCCGCCCACCUCUUUCCUUUUCUUCUUCUUCUAUUUGUCGCAGCCGCCGAUCAUCUCCCUCUCUUCCCUUCCGUCCGUCGAAGCCAAGGCCGCCGCGUGAACCUGUAACCGCCGGCUGUCUCCCCUCUCCUUUCUCCUCUGUUUUCUGCCCAGCGUCGUGUGACCCUCUGCCCAGCACCGCGUGACCCUCCGCCCAGUGCCGUGUGACCCUCUCCCAGCACCGCGCAACCUUUGUCUCGCGCCGUUGUCCAGAUCUGCAACGCCGUGUCCCCACCGGUAGCCGAUCUCUUCCUAAAUUGCGUGUCCCCUAUCAAGUCGUCGUUCUUCUGCUCGUUGGAAGACGGAGUUACGAUUUGAAGCCGAUUUUCUUUUCCGGUUGAGUCGCAUUCAGUGUUGCUCUAUUUACAGCCGUUUGAUUCGUUCUUGAUUGUCAUUUUUGCCUUGCCGUGAACCAUUGGGCUCAUAUUUGGGUACAUCUUAAUUCAGUGAGCGAAUCCUUGAUUUUCCAAAAGGUUGAAGUGGAAUUGAUUUUCCACUUCUUGGUUUGCCCUUAUUUGGAUUGUUUCGUGGACGAUAGUUGAUUAAGGAGCUUCCCUAACUUUGAGGCAAAGGUAAUAAAGGCGACAAACCGGCGAGGGGCAGGAAGGAAGCGUGAUUGCCAUAGGGGAUAUUUUAAUUUGCUUCCGCUUAAUGUUUUGUUUCUCAUGUUUUGUUUUAGUACUUGAGAUUGUUUAGAAAAUUUUAUAGUUGAACUGUAUUCACGAAUUAGUAAACUUUUCUUGAAAGUGUUGGCUAUUUUAAACAGGGCCCAAAUAUAAAUUUUUGUUUUCUUUGAGACUUUGAAAUUA